rnacentral:lncRNA from 1 species
UGGUUUCUGUGUUCUCUGAUGCUUGAGAACCACACCUGACAUUUGUUCCAUGUGCCUUUUCUUUACUCUGCAUCAGAGAAAUGAAUAUUGCCUUUCUGACACAACUUUGGACAGGUUCUCAACACCUACUUUGAACUCAGAAGGAAAAAGACUGAAUUUAUAAUUUACUUGUGUGGUUGCUUACUGAUAUUAGGCGUCAGUCUCAGUGAUUAUUAGUCAGGCCUGGUCUCUUCUACCCGCUUAGCUACUCAUGUAAGGGAUACAGAUUGUAUGAAAGACCGCGUAACAAUGUAAUCUCUCACAUUCCCUAUAUACACCUUCCCCUGCUGUAUCCAACAGGUAGCCAGUGACUGCUUAGCCAAGCGGAGGGGUUUCAUCCAGUAUAGGAGGGGCUGUUAGAGUAAAAUGUGUACAUUUUGCUGUUCAAUAAUGUUGCUCUAAGUGCCUCUUUUAAAGAAAAUUUCUUCCUGUAGAAGAAUUUCCUCUCUAGGAAUAAUGGAAGUAAGUUGCCUUUCAUUAGCAUACAUAGUGACAGUCUACUGUAUUAUCAUUUUAUGUAAUAAACAUGUACAAAGUAGACAUAAUAAAGAUUUUUAUAUAAGUAUACUUAGAAUUAAAUACUUAGCACUUUUAAAAUCAAAGGG